ensembl:lncRNA
CAGUCGCAGCCUCGAUCCUUCCCAUUUACUCUCAUUUCAAGCGAAACGAUCUUUGUCAAAUGCUCUCAGCGCUCCUCCUUCCUUCCGUCUCCCACAACAUUUAUCCCUCCCAAGACCUCCCCCUUCUCUCUCUCUCCAUCUCUCACUAAAUAUGACCAUCUUUGUCAAACUGUCAGCGGCCGUCCUCCUCCAUCUAUUAAAUGAAGCCUUUUGUUUCAUUAACCUUGUAUCCCUCCUCUCCUUUCUCCCUCUCGCCCUCGCAUUGCCAUCUGAAACCAGAUGGAUGUCAGACAGUUGUUACCAGUCUGCCACAGGAGAGAACACUUUCUGCACGUUUCUCUUCUUCCCCUCGCCGUUCUUGCCUCCCUCCCGCUUUUGCUGCAUUUACAUCUGGCGGUGCAGAGGUGGAAGCGUUCUUUAAAGAGAGGAGUGAGUAUCUUCAGAGACCCCCUCUGGGCUAUAACUCUCUCUCCGUCUGACCCACUGCCUUCAAGGUUCGUUAUUUUUUUUCUCUGCUUGCGAUCAUGUGGUGUUUUCUCUCCUAGCUUUUACAAUGACAUUGUUUUUGUCCCACUUUUGACAUUCUUCAUUUAGUUCCCUCAUCCGUAUAUAUCCAGGCAUUUCAAAAAGGCACGAUAUAAUAAUUAGAUACGAGCCGGAAUAGUCAAUAAAAAUAGAUAUAGAGAUAUAACUCCAUUUAAAGAGUUUUAUUUUCUCGUGUUGAGGCGACGGUUCAUAAUUCACACCAUGAAUAUUAACGCAUCAACACCCUCCUCCCUUAACAUUUUUUAUUUCAUAACAAUCUUCACGAUUCGAAUGUGGACAUUAUUGUCUUUCAGAGUUACGGAUGAAGUCCACUUGACAUUCUGAAUAUUUUUGCUUUACUUUUUUUAGGCACAUUUUUCCUCACUGGGAUUAAAUACUGGUUAAAUAAUAGUUUAAACCAAUCUUUUGUAUUCACCAGCAAUUAAUACACAGUUUUAAAAGGGUACCUCUUCCCGUUGUGUCUGUAAAGCCCCAUAGUUCAGUCACAUUGACCCAAGACACAAAUGAGGGUUUUAUUUGGACAAUCAAUGAAUGGAAAACCAUUUAGAUAUUAAGCUACACUAAGCAUGCUGACUAUUACAAAGAAGGAAAAGGAGAAACAUUUGCAGCAGGUCGAUCUCAACUGCUAACAAGUGACACAUGCAGUCAGGGUGAUGUGUACAGCAGUAGACUAGUUAAAGUGACACACUGCUGUACACAUCCAGCAGUGUGUCACUUUAACUAGUCUACACCCGAGUUGGAAACACAAAAUGUUUUUUCAAAAGCACGCCUCCGCCUCAGGAAAGACGUGUCGCCUAAUGAGGCUUUCACACGUCUCCGUCACACACACUUGGACAAGGUUUCGUACAUAACGUGCUGUUAUUCCUGCAGCGGGAUCCUGCCCUGCUCUACAUGCACAUUGCAGUCUUCGGGUUUGGAUCUUUCUCACCCAAACCCCAUCUUCAUGGUGUGGGCCGGGCCAAACCAUCUCGGCCUAUUGCCCCUUUGUCCUCUCUGUUUUCAUUGCAUUACAGUGUGACACAGACCCAUGGCCAUUACAUUAGAAUGGGCCUCGGGAACAGGAUCUGAGAUAAAGCAUCUGCUGUAGUGAUGUCAGAUGACAGUUAUGAAGCAGAUCAUGAGGCUUACAGUCUGAACUCUCUGGCGCCGCUUUGCUCUCUUAACCUCUGACAUCCUAAAAGCCAAAUCCUUUCCACUGUUUUAGUAUUACUUCUUCGGUCGCUGUUGUGACUUAACAGAUAUUUGCUCAGGCCCCAUUCAGAUGGUAUUUCAAGAUAACCGCUAUUCCCUUGAACAACUAAAAAGGGCCAGAUAAUGUGCUGUCUUUAGCCAAAACAGUUACUUAUUUAUGACAUUCUGCCUCGGCUUUACCUGCUUCCUCUUCCACUUUGUCCUCAUUCAACUGCACUUUUACAAAAGAAAUGAAUCUUUAAUUAUAUAUCAGAGACUUUCUCUCCUCCGUUAGAUUUCUGCUGUGAUGCAUGAAGAUAAUGUAUUCCAUUGAAUGUUCACUCUGGCCGGCGAACAAAUUCUCCAAAUAAACAGGCGGGUUGACCCGUCGUCAGCGGGUUCGCCGGUCACUGUGCUCUUAGUUAAAUUCUCUGUCUCUCCGUGAUCUUUCAGCCUUCAUCUUCUUAACCCGAUCCCCUUGCUCGCUAAGAAUAGCCGUGGCUUAAAGAGAACAGGCAGGGAAACAGAGAAGAAGGGCGGUAUUGGGAGGCUGCUGGCUGGAUUCUCAUUGGAUUUCAUGCCGUGUGCAGUUCAGUGGCUCCUAUGACUCCUUUCAGCCCACUGAUUUAUAGUAGUUCCCCUGCCGGUGUAACCUUUUAAUUUUCUGCCUUUUUAUUUUUAGUUUGUUUGUGCAAGGGCAUGUUUUAAAGCGCUAGCGUCUCGUCAUCCCUCAUUCGGUUCAGACCUUCAACGAGGCGUGUACCGUUUUGCACGACCGAAAUCACUGCAUGUUUUGUCCAUCAGGUGGAUGGAGCUUGUUUUGUGCUUUAAAGACAGACUACCAACAGACAAACAAAUAAAUUCCAAUCCCAUCAAUAACAUCUGUUGAUUUUCUGACUCAUGGCGAACUGCCACACACGAGCUUCAUAACAAAACAGUGGGACACGGUCAUGUAAGGUGGUAAAAGUCUGUUAAUGCAGUGUUUCCCCUGCCCUUCUAUUGGGGGAAGGACUGAUGUCAGUCAGUCUGUCUCCACGCCCCCCCCGUCCCCCCGACCCUCCCGUCAUUCAUCUGUCCCUCUGUCGGUACGUCCGUCCUCAUCGCCCCUGCAAUGCUGUUAACUAAAGGGAAACCCUAAAAUAGCAUCUAGUAUUAGCAUGGAAGCGUAGCAACCGGCCCCCCACUGGUAAACGCUAUUAGCUCCGUCAGUCCUUUUGCUGUAGUUUCCCCCCUUUGACGCUUUUGCCAUCGUUAGCUGGUCGCCAGUGGCUCGCCGUCACCAUGUCGGGAGCCGUUGGGAUCAAUAGCAAUGAUCCCAACCUCGGAUCUUGCUUAGAGAACCUCAAUUUGUGUUGUUUGAUAAAUUGUAAAAAGUUUGUAAAGUGUUAAAAAGGUGAGACGUGUGCUUGGAACGCAAUUAGGUCAAUACAAUUUCUUAGAUAUAUUACAGAUGGAUAAUGCUGGUGGAUCCAUCUGUUCAUCGUCAUUUUAAGCCCAACCGCGGAUAUAUUUUUAAAUUGUCAACCACUAGUUUGAAAGGGUCAAAUAAACUGAACUCCCUGGUUACUGAAAACGUUAUUGAGACAGAUGUUCAGUUGGGUGGAGUUUCCUGAAUCAAGAUGUAGCCUACAGCCAUGAUUGUAAAAUGAAUCAAGGAAGAGCAAAAAAACAUCCACGCUGGGCUGACAUAGUGUUAUGACGGAUGACAUUAUCAAGUAAUGAUACGUAUGGCGUUUGGAUGUCUACAGAUAAGGAUUUAGGGAGCGGGGGUGUUGGAAAGACACAUGCUGAGUGUGUAAUUACCACUCACUGUUUGCAUUAACAUCUCAUCUAAUUUAAUUCCUCUCUCUGUAGUAGCUACUGUAUAUUUAGCUCUUUCCCAUUAUUCACUACUCGGGUGUUUCUUUCUCGUACACUCCGAUCUCCGCAUAAAUAAUGAUUUAUUUUUGAUUUGCCUGCUUCUGUUAAGGUUAUUCUUUGGUACUAUUUUUGCUUUUUUGUUUAGUAUUGUGAUCAUUUAUGUGCUCUGCGCUGCUGCUAAAGGCGCUGUUGUCAUCAAGAGAGUUAAGGAACUGCUGAAUUGGAAAAGUAUAGCUGGUGUCAAGGUCUGGAGGACGUAGAGGCACAUAGUUGGAAAGGCGAAUACACAAGAACGGCAAGGGGGACCGAGACCGAAUGUGAGCAUCUUAACCGUGAUGUUUCAUGUGAUACCACUCUUUCUUUCUCUCUCUCUCUCUCUCUCUCUCUCUUGACAAACUGAGAUAAGCUGCCCUGACUCUGCAUAAGAACAAAAUAUAAAACAACCCCAAAAAAAUCCACCAUUCUGAGGUCAGAUUUAUCUGGUGGAAAAUGAAAGGAGACACGACAGGAUGCAGGGAGAGGGCGAAACGGUGGAGGAGGGAAUAUGGAAAAAAUGUAUAAACUUUCUGCCUUUUAAUGCUCUCGCCGUAGUUAAUGCAGCACGGUGAGUUGUUUGCUGGUUCGCUGAUCAUCACUUUAAGCCGAGAGCACAUACUUGUUACCAUUUGGGCCUUUGACCGAAACCUUCAGAUGGCUGGUGAAACGUCUCCUCUUACAGGCAAAUCUAUGGAAUUUUUUUCAAUCUCUAUUAAGUAAAUCAUUAAAUUUUAAUUGUAUAUUGUAGGGAAAAGCAGUACUGACUGACUGUUUGCUUCCUAUUUGUUGUCAGUUAGUUUGGACCUGAAGUAUUUGUGAAUGAAUAUUUUUUACUUUGGGAAAGUGAGCGUAAUAAUAGCACUCUCAUGCUUGUUGUCCUUGCGUUCCACUCAUUGUAAAAGUUGACGAAAUCACACGUAACGUUAGCAGUCAGUUCUUCUUCUCCUGUUCCAUUCACUGGUAUCUAAUUCUUUCUUUUAGCAGCUUUUAUGCGCACCACUAGAUCACUUCAUCGUGAGCGUGACGCGGCUGUGGUAACAGGCGCUUUACAGCACGGCAGCUUCGGGUGAUGUGCGUGCAAAUGUAACUUGCCAUGAAGUCGAGCUAGUUGGGGUUUUGUGCGUGAACCUAUGACUGUGUGUAAUAGACAGUGUGUGAAAAAGCGUGUAAUAGGCUCACCUGUCCCCGCCUGCCGACUGAUGGGCAGGGGGAGAGAAGGGAAACCAGGUGGAAGGAGGGAGCCAUGGAGGAACCAAUGCACCGAGUAGAUAAGGCUGCAUUUUAUGUUCCGACUUCCACAUUGCUGAAUAAAUGAACACCAUUAUAGAAUGGGGUAUAAAAUAAAAGGGAGAGGUAUGUUGAUUGAAGAAAUAUUGCUUAUUGGAUGAGGCUGGGGAAGCGGGUGUGGAUCGAACCUUAGGAGUUCAUUACAUUUAGAUUUUUGUAAGCAGAGUAGUAUCUCUUUAGAAUCACCAAUUUGAACCAGUUAAAGUUUAUUACUGUGGCUUUUGAAUUAUGCUGAAAAUAUCAGCAGAGAUGAUCUUUCUCAAUGGGGACACAACGUAAAGCAUCUAUAAAAAUUGGAAAUGGUUGCCGUAACAACAGCCGUUGGUUUGUAAGGGCCUCAGUUUCACAUUUGGGCGGUCAGCAUCUUUUGCAACCAUAAGUGACAUGAGCGGGCGACUAAAACCGAGCCUUCUAUAAGACUAUAAAAAUAUCAUUACUAAAACCAUGAACAUUCAAUGAAGGAGUUGAAAGUCAAAAACACAGACGUCUCCCAUAUUGGAAAAAGCCGUGGUAGCAACCUGCCAAUCACAAGUUAGCCACGCCCUCAGGCCAACCCGGCUUUAUGGUCCCACUUAGUCUAAAUGGGGCCGUCAUUAACUAAGUAAACCACUGAAUGAGACGUCAUGUUCACAAUGUUUAUUGAGGUAAUAAAUCAAGUGAAAUGUGGUGUCAUUUUCUCUUCGGCUCCUAUGCAUUCAGACUUCUUUUUGCAACCAGAGGAGAAAACGAUGGACAUUAGUUUGAAUGCUUAAGGCGCUUCCACAUUGGCAUCCCUCUUUAAAAACAUAGGUCGCUGUCUGGUCGCAACAACCGGGGCAGAUAUCUAAAAAGAAAAGCAAUAGUCACUUUGGAAAAAUAAAACUCCUUUUUUGACUGUUUAAUCUUCUGCCCUGACUAACUGUUGUUUGUCUUUGACAGGGUGACGAGGAAGAUCACGCUGACGUUUCGUCUUGUCCAAGGUAAGAACACAAGACCGCCUGUAUCUCUUUGCUCCAUAAAAAAAAAACCCUGCUGUAACUCAAUAGUUUUUCAUCCUCUCAGUUUCUCUCUCGUUGUAUUCAGACCUCAUGUGCUGCUUUUAUCCGUGCUGAGUACUCUUCUCAGAAUUUAGGAGGGCAUGAAACCCAUUUUAUUUUCCGUGUUGAUAGACAUAACUCUACUUCCCCUGCUAAAACAUUAAAGCGGUGAAUUUGUACAAUAUUGUAGGCUUGUUUUGCCAUCACAUGAAAGGGGACUCCCUCUGCCAAAUCAAUAAUGGUAGCCAUAUGUGUGAGAAGCCUCAAUGCCGUGCAAGCUGUUGUGAAUAUUUGGGAACAAGGCAGGCAGUGUAUGAAAUCACAUUUCUGUCCUUUUGAAUCAGAACUGAGAUUCUCAAUACUCAGGUGAUGCGUUUGAAUUUAAGAAUACUGUUGGAAAAUUCACAUGCUGCCAACCCUGCCGGCCGACCUGAACCCCCCCCGACGAGAACCUGUGGCCCACCAGUAUGGUGGUCUGCUUCUCUGUCAGUAGCACGUCUCCGGCCAUAUCUGGUUGCCGUGGUGACAUGCCCAUGUCAGCAGCAGUGUGUGUGUGUGUGUGUGUGUGUGUGUGUGGCGGGCGAUGAAAGGACUCUGUGGAGGCGGAUAGAAUUCCUCUGUCCAGAAACGCCAGCGGGACGCACACAUGUCGGCGCUCGUGGAGGGGAAACCUCAGACAUGUGGGCACGCAGGAGACGCACGUGUCACAAAAGUGUACACAGCCACAACGGUACAGGACAUGGGCAGAUGCAGCAGACACACACGUAGAGCGAUAUCCAGAUUCCACGGAGGGCGCGGCCAUGCAUUCACGCUGACAGCUCAGGACUCUAGGGUUACAUACAGGGAAGUCCAUGCGUGCCGCAAUGCUUUGAACACUAAUGGUAUGUAUACACACUUUUAUUAACGCACACAGACCUGAAGCUACGGUUUAAUGCCUCCCACUAAAUAAAAUGUCUGCGUCCGGUCCUUAAAGGUCUUUCUUUUAAACAUGAAUGACGGAUGAUGUAUGCACGCAGAAUUAGCGAAUGCAAAUUGUUGCUGGCUCAGCAGCUGCACCGCGGGAAUCUGGGGUUAAGGGCCUUGCUUCUAGGGCAACUUUUAUUGCCGAUGAGGGAGGGAAGGGCAUUACUCAUUUGCUCCCCCCCAGCCAGAACAGACGUCCCCAACACGAGCUGGUUUGGGGAUCUAAAACGAGGACACACGCCUGCCGAAGCCUCGGGCUUCUACUGACAAACAGGUGUAAUGCACAGUUUUUUUUCCUCUAGAAUUUAUUCUCCCCCGUCAGGACGUUGGCCUCGCAGCAAGCAAAGCGUAUGUCAUACCGCUUAAGCAGUAUAAACAAACUAAUGAGAUUCGGAAAAACGUUAAAUAAGAAAGAGGGAAGACUCAAGGGACUGAGACUCUGUAGAGUCUAUCAAAGAUUCAACAUUAUUCAUUUGUUUGCCUCGAGCACCUAAAAUAGUUUUUAUUGACUAUUCAGCCCUUUUGAUCCGACUCUUUUUUUAUUUGCGCAUCACUCUUGGAUGCAUCGUUUUAAAUGGAGAGUACAGAGUGAGCUAAAAUGUAGUUUACACUGCAUUCGCUCUUUGUGUCCGUGUGAGGCUUUCGGAGGUGGUGAAGGACGAGAACGAAGUGGUUCCGCCGCUCUGAACUCAAUGUUGUUUAACUCCCGAGGUCAAAUGAACUAAUUGAAAUGACAACAGAUCCCAGAUUUGAACCCCGAUCAGAUGGGUUCAGAGAAUCCUCCAUGAAGUGAUGCACCUGUAAGAUAACCCGGGACGAUGACAGCCUUUCUUUUAUCUUUCCUUGUCGCACUCUACCACUCGUCCUGCCGUCGGGCCUCUGUUGGCAUUCGUGUCGGCAAAUUGCUUAGUAGACACCACCAUGUCAUGUACACUUGCACAGCGUGUCUGCGUGUGGGGUCGUCAGUAAUGGGAGACUGUGUGUUUUUUGAUCCCUGGGGUUCGCCUUGUCGCCAGAAUCUCCUUAACACCCACACACCCCGUCUCUCUCCGCCUCUCCCACGGCACACACACACACACACACACACACACACACACACACACACACACAACCCUGACCACACUUGGCUAUUUAGGAUUAUAUCCCCACUGAUUUGUACCCUCUACAUGUGCCUGAUUUACUUUGCAAAGGCAGUUUGGGAUGGAUCGAUUUUCCUUUUUUUACAAUUAUGACAAGUUGUUUUUAAGCCUUUUCUGUAUAUUACACCUUAGAGACAGUUCAUGGUAAUGGAUUUAAUAUCACCCUAAAUGUCACUCAUGUUGUUAAACAGCAGGAUAUGUUUUUGUUCCUUUUUGAAUUAUCUCAUCUUUAAUUUAGCCCUUAACAGUUUAAUAGCCAUCGUCAGACUGAGGCAGCUGUUACUAGGAUUUUCUUUUUUUUUGACAUAACCCACUUUUGAAAAGUAAAUGAGAUAAUAGUGAAAGAAAACUACUUCAGCUCAGAGAGAUUUUUUUAAACAUGAAGUUAUUGCAGUACAACGCAUUUAAAAAAAAAGAUGAUUUAUGAGUGUGUGUGAAACAUUAUAGGUAUGUCGCUGAGAUCAAAAUCAAGGCCAUGGUUGUAGAUUGUAGGCGUGCGGUCAGAACAAGGAAUGCCGAAAAGUAGGAGGUCGGUAUGGAGCCGUCCGCCACGGCGGAUACUUAAGUCUGAAAGACUGAGGAUGAGAUCCUGAAAAUGUGAAGACACUCGUUUCUCAAUGUAUAACAAGACAUGCGUGUUGAAAUCCUGCAGGAGGAGAGCUACGUUAGCGCUUAGCAGCAGGUGAGCGGCAAGGUGCUACUUGGUCACAUAAAAGAGCCAACGGCUAAGAAACAGAGGUUGAAUUGUGAUGCGUCCAAGGUCUAUUUCCUAAACCUUUGGAAAAGCUAAAUAACAACCUCGUUAUUUGUUCAUUUCGUGAAUGAUUGAUAUGUUUGCAUUCAAAUAUAUGGAGUUUUUGAUCCUGUUUUGUACCUUUUGGUAUCAAGUUUGUUUGGGAGAAUUGUAGAAUUUCACUCAUAUUUAAAACAAUCACUACAUUUCUUAUAUUUGAAAUGCCGAGACACCACAAGCAUGUAGUGUGUUCCACAACCAGGACAGAAUGAGGACCACUGAUUACCAUGUCUGACCGAGCAUUGCUGACACGAGUGAGAGCAAAGCACAAUACAACCUCAGUGUUGUCUUGACUGUGCACACUGGGCAUCCUUUAGGCCGCUCUCGCAUAUUCCCGGGCGUUGUUGAGUCUACACGUUGCUAUGCACAUUGACAAGGCAAAUCUACAUACACGGCGCCGGUUGCCAUUCGCUGUGACCUAGAAUGGCUGACAAGGGGGAUAAGUCGAGGAAUUGUAUUAACCCAGCCGUGUCCCGAUCACGCUGACAAGACAUUAUUCUUUUUCCUGUUGCUGCUGUUAAGAGCAGAAUGUCUGCUCUGUCAGAUACAGAUGCUGACAAGCCGGCGUUCUGGCGUCUUAAGCGCCGCUGACCAGGGAAUAGGAACUAAGGAGUAGAAGUCAGGCCGGCUGUAUCGACGGCGCAUGUUGACAAAGCAGCAGAGAGCGUUGCGUUGGCCUUGUGUUUGACACGGGACUGGUGACAAGUCCUUGCUAUUCCACACCCGUGUGAGCACGGCGAGGUCACGCUGACCCAAGCCCGCUGGUCCGAGGGGACUGCACUUGAUUCUACUGUGUCUUUUCCUGCGAACAUUGUGAGUGUCCAGCAUGUGUGCGCAUUGAUUAGCCAAGAUGUGUGAGCUCGGCUCCUCGGGACGGCCCCGGUUGUUGCCGGAGGUCAAUGCGUGUGCGCUCUUAAGUGUGUGUUUGCGCUCGCGCGCGUGUGUGUGUAUUUGCCAGGCGGUGGGGGGUUAGGCCCGGAUUGCAAUGACAAUGGAGAGGAAUUUAAAUGAGAGAAAAGAGGGAGAUCAGGGACGUUUGCAAGGAGGAUGGAAGAGGCUUUGGCACCAUUGUUAUUCUUCCUCUUUGUUAUUCUGCCACUCUAUCUCUCUAUUACAAAUCCUCCACUCUGUGGCUCUCUCACUCGGCUAUGUUUGUCACUGAAAUCACUCUGUUAAUUUGAUCCCAACUUAUCCCUAUCUUGAUUUUUUCCCCCUCUAUGUCAACUCCCUGUUGGGAAAGGUUUUCUUUUUUUUUUCCUUCUACUUGCUCUCAAGAGUCACACGUGCUUCACGUCACGCCAAGUUGGGGAAUCUGGGGUUUUUGCCCCGGAUCCUUAUUUGGGUUGUAGAAACUGACCAGAUACUUAUCUUAUACUAAUCUAUGAUACAACUACGCUACUAACUACUGCGGCAUCCAGCUCGGUAGUUGCUGCUAAUGUAACGGCGGUGCUGUUUUAAAUCCUAAAGUAGCUUUGGAUUGUAAUCGUUCAGUGCCGAAAAUAUUAAUCAGCGCAGUGACAAGAAUCUGUCUUGUCAGGUUUGGUCAAAUUUUGUGUUCAUGGAGACAAUUUUUUUUUCUUCUUUUCAGGUAUAUUGUUUGUUAAACAUACAUGUCUAUAAACAUACAUCCAAGAAUGAAAAAAAUAUCAUUCAUUCACUUUUUUAUUUCUAAUGUAAGUAAGUCAGGUUCCGCCUUCUAUUUGUGUCUCAUAUUGAGGGCUGUCCUCCACCAAAGUCCUCCUCAGCCGGCUAACAGUUUGUUGACUAAUCAAUUAGCUGAUUUAAAUCGACAGAUCUGUGAACCUUGAGUAUCUCUUACAAUCACACAGAAGCUUCACUGGAAAUCUGUGAAACCACGUGUCCCUCUCCUUGACCACCAAGCACCAAACACGGAGUCGACUGAGAACUAAAAACAACCGAUUUGUUCCUCAAUCAGGAGGUUCCCCUAUAAUAUCCAGUGUGUCUUUCAAUGUUUUUUUAAUUUUUAUUUAGUGUCACUUGACUUCCUCCCGUCAGCAGUGACUCACCGUUCCUCUGUGGCUCUCUUUGUCUUGUCGCUCCCCCCAUCGCAGUGUUAUUACCUCUACAGUCUCUGGUCAGAUCUAGUGCAGUUGCUAAUAUAACCACUCUCAAAACAGGCUCAUUGAUUUUAAUCCCUCUCUCUCUUUCUCUCUGUUAUAGACACACACACACACACACACACACACACACACACACACACACACACACACACACAAACAGACUUUCUCUCUCAGUUUCUGUUUGCCUGCCCCUCUCUCUCUCUUUCUCUCUGUAGCAGCUCUAAUUGCGAUCAAUUAUGAAACUUCAGAAGGCUGAAAUAGGAGCUGCGACAAGGGGCAUCCGCUGAGCUGGCAGGGGGAGAGGGAAGGGGGGGAGAGGCAAGGGGGGGAGGAGGGGAAAACGGUGACAUAGGAGCGCAGAGUGGAUGGGAGGGGCAGCGGAGAGAAGUCCAAGUCGGUGUCGAGAGAUGAGCUAAUGGUAAUGGCUUGAUUGAUGUGGCCACAGCAGCUGAAAGUCACAUCGUUUUUCAUGCCAGGUAUUGAUUCCUGACAAGCCCUUGUUAGUUUUUGGAGCGCAGUCGCCAUGGCGAGGAGUUGUAUUCCCAUCUGCUAUGGUCACUCUGGUGCUUCGAACAAAAGCUCCAUACACAUAUUCUGAGCAUUGCAGCUGGAAUGAGAGUAAACCGAUUUCAAGAGACAAUUUGGUUGCAACAUAAUAACUUGUAAUGCUUUUAUAUAUUUAUUGAGUUUACACUAUUUAUUUUGUUUGUUUAAAUUCAUAGUUGUUUUAGUAUUGUAACCAAUAUCCUCAGUGAUAUCGGUUUCAAUACGGAUACUCUUUGCAUCCAUCACCUCAUUUCGGAGAAAAUAAAUACAUUGCAUAAACAAAUUUAUUCCUCAAUCCUGGAGGAGUGAAGUAAAAGUAAUGAAUGUGUUCUUAACUGUAUUCAGCAGAACAUAAAACUCGGGUAAACUUUUACCAUUUGUCUUCAACUCUAAAAGUUGUGCGGCUCCGCUACAAGGCGGCUUUGCCUCCCUGUUUUAAUUUGAUUCCCUCCACGCUUUGCGUACCUUUUCAACGUAAGCCAUUCGGAACUAGACUCCGAGUGAAGAUCAUGCAAACAGAAGCAACUUUAUCACUUCCAAUUCAUUUUUAAAUGUAUUACCGACUGACCCCCUAAACACAAUCUUCAGCUUUGCUUGAACAGCUCUUUAUAGAAAAACAAGGAACUUAUUUCAGUUUGAGUCAAGUACACCCCACCCCGGGGCAAAGAUUAUAAAUAACAUUAUUAUCUGGAAAUAUUCCUUCACGGAGGCUGGAGCGUGCUGGUUGCCUUAAGCUCUCUGAGGCACCCGCUGAAAAAUGUUUCCAACAUCGCAAUUCUACAAGAUUUAUGUUGUUCCAGCAAGAUCCGGGCUCGACUUGCAGAUAAAAUAAGCUUGUUGUAAAUAAAUCUAAUGGUAAUUUACCAACGGUUUCCUGUCAGAGAUUUGGAAAAAGCCUUGGGUUUCUUAAGGGUCUCUGUUUUUCAUACAUGUCCUGCAGGCUGAGAGCCUCUGGUCUCAUGUUUAGCUGCCUGUGCCUUGGGGCAUACAAACCCUUUUAUCUUGUCACCCUAAUGCACGUGUAUGUGUGCGAGGCGGAGGGAGAGGGAGCAUGUGAGGGAGAUUGAAGGAUCAAUACUAAGCCGUCAGGAGGUCUGCUACUCCCAGAGACACAGAGAGAGAGAGAGAGGGGGGGGGCACCCAGAAGAGAGUGGUGAACGAGAACGUAAUAGAGAAAGGGAAGAGGAAGAGGAAGAGACAAAGGGAAAGAGGGGGUGAGGUGGCUGGGAAGAAGGGCAGCCACAGGAAAUGUAUGGAGAUGGAAACGGAGAGCAGAUUUGGCUGGUGAUAAAUUAACCGAUGCAAGGGAGACGGGAAAAACAGAGAGGGUGAAGAUAUAAUGCAGGUGGAAAGAAAAUGAAGACAGGGAAAGAGGAGGUGAGGAAAAGGGAAGCUGCUGGUCUACAGGGAGCGCAGUACUUGUUACAGCUAAAGAGAGGGGGAACUUAACAUUAUAAUGGGAUGAGAAACAAGAUACACGUUACGUUUUGGCUCCCUCUCUGGGUUCUCCACAAGGGUAUGGAGACACAUUCAUGUAGAGCACACGGGGGGCUACCGGGCUCGCGUUGUUUUGCAUUGGAGGGCAGCAGUGGUACGGCGUGCGCUGUGACUUGUUCAUCACGUGUAUUCAAUUAGAAUUCAAAAUGAUUACGCUAUCAUAAAGUAGGGAGUUGGACUUAAAGGAGUAGUCGAGGGUUUGGCGAGAUGUGCCGCUAAUUAAAAGCUUGCACUUUAAAGAGGCCAAAACAUGCAAGAUGUACAAUAUAUUUCAAAUAUAACAAAACGGUCUCAAAAGUGACUGCUGGGCUCCGAGGAAGAGAGCUUCAACUUGUUAGAUUCAAGAGAGAAAUUGUCCCGUUGCCAAAAACUCACAAAUUUGAUCCUUCAAAAUGUGUCCAUCAAAAUGUCAGGUGUCCUGUUGAAGUGCCAGACAGCCAAUCGCUGUGCAGCGUGCAGGAUGCAAAUGCCCGCAUGUGUACUUCUUCGUAUUCCCUGCGCAUGCAGUAAUAGAGAAUGAAUAUCGGCUGUUCAGAGCAUGUUUUCUCCCAGCGAGCCUCACUGCGCCCCGAGUCCACACACUUUAACUUCUUUCGACUCCAGUGGGAUUCAAAGUUUGAUCUCUGGCCGUGUUUGUUUCAUGCAGAAGCUCCAGCACAAAAAAACAAAACUAAGAGUAUUUAUAACAUUGGUCUUGAUGCAUAAUUCAGUUGACAUAAACAUGAAAUGAGGGGGGCAAACGAAACUGUAUCCCACAAGAUCUAAAAGCCUUGCCUUGACACCCAUAAUGAAUAUUUAAACCUUGAUGACCCUACGCCGGUACGUCUGUGAAUGAUUUACACUUCUGCCUCACGGAUGGCUAUUUUUAUACCUUUUUGUCUUUUUUCUUUUUCAAAUUCCCGUAUCACAUCUUUUUAUCGUCUUCUCUUUCUUCUUCUGAGAAGACAGAUCGCAGUAAGACAGGAACCUGUCGGGUGCCGAAGAAACCCGUGCAAGUAAAAGAAAAGGGGGAAAGAACUAGAAAGAAAAGACCACAUCUUGUGAUCAUCUUUGACUUAUCUGUGAAUAUCAUCAGCUGUAAUCAUCUUUCCGCAAUAUAUUUCACCCCCCGAUGAUUAAGUUUCUUAAUGGGCCCUGGGAAUAGUAUUAUUUAAUGUAGGGGAAUAGGAUGGAGAAUAAUACCCCAUUAUUAAUAAAUGUAUUCCAGAUGAAGAAUUUCAAUUGUGAGUUUCCUUAUACUUGGGCCCAUAAUGACCCUGUAGGUUCCUUCAUAAAAGAAAUGACUCCGAGGCAUAACACCGUUUUUCACAGUGAAGCAAAGGGAUGGAACGAAACAUCUCUUCUCCCACUAAUGCUUCAUCUGGUUUGUAGCGUGAUCGGUAAAGGGUGAUAGGCUUUUUAUGCCUUGAAUACAGAAUUUACAGAAUGGUUUUCUCAUGCUGGUUGGCGAGUCACUGUGCAGGGGUCCAAACAGGUAAUGAUAAUUUCGUAUGAUGGGUGCAAAAAUUAUGAAAACCCACAUGUUUUAAGUUUGGGCAUAGCCCAUAUUUUCCUGAAAGGACAAUGCCAGGGUUGGUUUUGGGUGCUCUGCUUUAAAAAGUGCACAAUAAAUAAAGGUAAUCCUUUCAAUUGCGCAUUGAUUAAACCCUUAAAUGUCUGUGUGUCAAAUGCAGCACUUGUUAAAUUGUGUAUAUGUAUAUUAUAAACUAUGAGCCGUAUCUGAAACCGUAUCAAACGCAAAGAAAAUCUAAUUUUCUUUCUAAACAUUUUUUAUCGAAUCUUUUAGAUCCACAUUUCGCCAAUGUUUUACCUUUUUGGCUUAUUUUAAUGACUUAGCACAACAUUUGACAUAUCUGUUUUCCUUUGGUAAAUAAAGUAAAUUGAAUUUGAAAUCGUUAUAUAAAGAUUAAAUGAUAAAAUGAGAUGACACCGCUCAACGCUCACUUGUUUUAUUAUAUACCAGGAAAAAAAGGCUCAGAAAUGGAAUAAUAGCAGAUCACUGCAACCAGCCCUUCUCAUACCUAACAGCACUAUCAGUCUUACAUGCCUGUCUAGGAUUAGACACAUCUAGUUAUGAAGACCAACAGCCUCAUUUACAACAGAACAUGGCUCUGCAACCUGCAUCCAUCUCUCUGUUUGUCUCAAGGUUAGGGCUCACAGGGGAGGAGAGGCAUCAGGUUACACUAAUGCAUCAUGGCUGCUGGAGGACACACAUGCACAGGCCUCGUCAGCCACUGUCUCACCCCGUCUCGCCUUCUCUUUCCCCCCUUACACACAAACACACACGCCCUGGUGAGCUGAAACCCCCCCUUUAGUACAGGUCUAAGGGCACACUGUGGCCUUGCUCCAUCGUGCCCUUGUAACCUGCGAGCAGUCUGCCGUCGGUCCGCUGGGCAAAUCACUUGUCUCUAAAAAUAAACUGAAAGCAUCACUGAAGGCCUGGCUGAGGUUAGAGCGAGAAAGAGAGAGGAGAAGAACAGGACACCCAGGAGAGAGUGGAGAGGGAGAACGUAAUAGAGAGAGGGAAGAGGGUAAGAGAGAGAGAAAGAAUAUUAAGUAUUACUCUUCUUCAGUCUAUUUUAUACAUUUAGGACAAACUCCAACACUUUGAAGUAAUGUACAAAAGGGGCAGCAUCGCUCACCAAUCAAUUACCAGUUAAUCUUGACGGGAGGGGGAAGCAAAGAGCUGAUAUGGUAUUAUUGACACACCUACACUAUACAUGCUGAGGCUGCAUUACUCCUGUUUAUAAUGCGUUUGGCCCACUCUGGCCUCCUUUCCAGUGUUUGUCACAGUGUGCAGAGAUUGCUGUUGCUCAUUAAGUCCUCCAAAUUGCAGUUGUGUUCUCACUCAAGCAGAAUCUUAAUCUUCAUCUCUGCAUCCAUUUAGCUUCCUAUCCAUUAGUACGGAAAUGGUUGGUCAAUUAACGCAGUUAUUUUUCAGGUACUUUGUAUUUUCUGUAGUUGGUUGGAUCAACAUCCGCAGCGGAUUUCUUUUACUACUUUAAUAUAGCUUAAUGAUUUAUUAAUCAGAACUAAUUGGAACGUUCACAAAAUUUUCAUUACGCACUUUUUUUUAUUUUAUGUUCUGGCUGGGUCCCGUUCCAUGUCCCAGAAGUUGAAGGCAAAACAGCAGUGUUAAGUCCAUACAGCAUUGGUAACACACUUUAACACACCGUCAUCAGAUAAAAACCAAUGCGCAUUCACGCAGACGGAGAGAGAGGCCUCCUCUAGGGAUCAAAUGCCCGUCCACGGUGCCCUGUGAGCAACCAGCGAGUUAAAUAUCCGUCAGAACACCGACCAUUGACCUCUAAUAUUAAGAAAAGACUAGGGUUCAAAGGGGUCAUAUCCCCCCCCUGAAUGUCAUUCCCUUCUUUCCACACACAUGCACUUAUACACACACACACACCCCCACACACUCUCUCCCUGGUGCAGUGAGAGGGCCUUAUUGUGUAAGCCGGAGGAAAUGCAGAGACAUUGCAGAGGACAGGGCAUCCAUUGAUCCGACUAUAGACUCUUCUCCUACUCAGCCUCUCCUCUCGUCGCUGCCUUUUUUUUUUUCUAUCCCAACCCUUCGCUUUCUCUGCUCUUUGUGUUAUCAGCACUCCACUCUCCUAUAGUUUUUGUCUCCCUGUGAUCCACCACCCCCUCUUCCUCUAUAUUAUUGCUUUCACUCUCCAGGCCAUUUCUGCUCCCCUCUGUCUCUCUCUCUGCCUUCUCAUGCCAUGAUUUCUCCCUCUCCGCAUCUCUUUAUAAUCUCCAUCUAACCAAAAACUCCUCCUUCCUCCUUCCUAUUCACUUAUCUUCUCUUCAACUUCCCUUCCAUCUCUUAAAUGACUUACAUUUGUCCCUCUGUCUCCAACUAGUCAUGCAACUUUGGAGCAGAAACUUAGUUGGAAACAGAAAGUGGAUCAUGGGGACGAGAAGGAUCAUGAUAACAAGUGAGCAAAGGAAGCUUGUGUGAGAAAGUGAAAAUAAUGAAGGGAUGACAAGCAACUGAAGGGUGUGAGGAUGGAAGAAAGAAAGGAAAGGAGGAAGGAAAUCAGCUUGACCACAGGUAGUAUAUGUUAAAUGGUGUUGGAGCAGUGCCAUUAAAAACAGGCACAGAGCUGAACAGGAAGAAGUGAUUUAGUGAACACACACUCACUCAGUCACACACAGCGUGACUUCAGUAAUGGCCAAAGGAACCGUAAGGUGGGAAGUAGGAACCCUGUGGUGGCAAGUAGGAACCUUAAGGUGGCUAGUAGGAACACUGAGGUGGCAAGUAGGAACCUUAAGGUGGGUAGUAGGAACCCUGAGGUGGCAAGUAGGAACCUUAAGGUUGGUAGUAGGAACACUGAGGUGGCUAGUAGGAACACUGAUAUGGCUAGUAGGAACCUUAAGGUGGGUAGUAGGAAUCCUGAGGUGGCUAGUAGGAACCUUAAGGUGGCUAGUAGGAACACUGAUGUGGCUAGUAGGAACCUUAAGGUGGGAAGUAGGAACCCUGAGGUGGCUAGUAGGAACCAUGAGGUGGCUAGUAGGAACCUUAAGGUGGCUAGUAGGAACCUUAAGGUGGCUAGUAGGAACACUGAUGUGGCUAGUAGGAACCUUAAGGUGGGAAGUAGGAACCCUGAGGUGGCUAGUAGGAACCAUGAGGUGGCUAGUAGGAACCUUAAGGUGGGAAGUAGGAACCAUGAGGUGGCUAGUAGGAACCAUGAGGUGGCUAGUAGGAACCUUAAGGUGGCUAUUAGGAACCUUAAGGUGGCUAUUAGGAACCUUAAGGUGGCUAUUAGGAACCUUAAGGUGGGUAGUAGAAACACUGAGGUGGCUAGGAGGAACCUUAAGGUGGCUAGUAGGAACACUGAUGUGGCUAGUAGGAACCCUGAGGUGGCUAGGAGGAACACUGAGGUGGCUAGUAAACCCUCCUGCUUUGUACAUCCCUUCUCAUCUCUCUGACUUUUUGCCUCCUCUCUGUCCUUACCUCCCUCGCCGCUUGCAUGAUUCCUUCUUCACCUCCACCUUCUCCCACCCUGUCUCCAUCUCUGCUUCUGGCACUCCCCCCCUCCUCCCUCCUUCCUCUUUGCCCUGCUCCCUUCCUGCUGGACAGGCUUUUAUUUGAGCCAUGUGGACCUCCCUAAUGACAUGUGGACCUUGGUGUGUGUGUGUGUGUGUGUGUUUCUCUGCGAGAGUUGUAGGUGCUGACAUGUGCAUGCGUGCAUGUGCACGUGUGCUUGAUGUGCUGACGCACGUGUGUGUAUGUGCGAUGGAGGUGCUGACAUGUCUGAUCGUCGUGUAGUUCUCCCACUGAAGUUCUGCCGACGGCCUCUUACCUUUGAACAGGCCAGUGAAGGGGAGGGGGGGGGUAAGAAAAAAUACCGGAGCACUAUGCCAGAAAUGUGAAGAGAAGCAGAGGGAAGGAGGGAGGACAAAGUGAGAGAAGAGAAGGGGUGGUAAGUGGGACAUUGUUACAGUAAUUAACACAGAUGAGAGAAUGGGAAGAAGGGAGAACACAAUCGGGUGGUUCUCGCGGCGCACACAGGGUGCCGGAGAUCACGCGUGUCCCUGAUCAGAGGGACUCCGGGAGACGAGGGUGGGUGGGGGGGUGGGUUUGUUGGUUGGUGUCGUGGUGGUGGCACCGUGAAAUGAGCCUUGUUGGAAGAUGACGGGUCUUACAGGGCCCCCGUCUAGAGCUUGUGUUCUAAGCUACUACCAAGAAGUUUACUUCACCAAAACGCACCUACCAACUCCCCAUGGACAAAAGGUACUUUUCUAAAGCCGUUCUUUUCCGAUAGUAACCAGCACUUUCCACAGUGGUUGAGUGUUUUAGGAAAGCAUAGGCAGCUUCUUCAAAUGACUUUAGCCCAAUUAGUGGCAGUGCACAUGUAGCAGAAAGAGGAAAACCGGCAAACAUUAAAGAGUUCACACAUAUGGUUUGCAUCUUUCUUAUUCUAUUCAAUUAAAACUGGCAGCAAUUAGAAUCUCGAGAACCGUUUCACCUGUGAAUUCAGCCGUCCACACACUAUUUCAUCUCCUCCGCGAUAGUCAUCGAUAUUUUCAAUGAUUAACAAAAUGUAACGCAUAGUUUAAUACACAAAACCUAUGAUUGGUCAAAAAAGAUUCAAUUCUUAAUUUUGGACUUUAAGGAAUGCCAUUUGUAUACAUUCAGUGGGAUAAAUGGGAAUAUGAUUAAACGGCGCGAGGUGUGUGAGCAGAUGUCUUGAUAUGGUUUUACUUCAGCUCAUCACGACUUCUAAAAUUCUACAUUCAAACGUGGAAGUGUGCGAGAAGAACAAAGCUUUAAAUUUUUCAACGUAUCAUGCAGUGAGUGAUAGACAUUCAAAUGGUCAUUUAGUGAAUAAAACAUUCUUUUGCAGAAAAAGCUCAGAAGGAAUUACAAGAACCAUUGUAUGGUCCCAAAAGCAGAGAAUCUUAUGAAAGAGAGAGGAAGAAAAUGCUUUUCUGGGUUCAAGUCAAUAGCAUUGCUGUGAGAAAGAAAGUCCAUGGAAGACUGUAUUGAAUGGAUAUCGACUAGAAUGGGAAAAUCAUUGAACAAGUGUCCAGCAGAGGAUGUGAACCAAAGAGAGAGCCGAGAUGAGAGCUGCAGGGACAUGUUUUGGUCAGUAUUUGUCUUUUUAGGGACAUUUUGAUCUCCUUGGAGGUUGAUUAUACCUAUAAGACCAUCACAGUGGUUUAAUGUUUAUAUGGAUGUCUCCAUAUGUUUAUCUUUUUGCAACAUCUGCCUGUUUCCCAGACUAAUCUAUCAAGUGCAACACCCACUUGCGGUGUUAUGUUGAUUAAACCGAUCAAGAAUACCAUUAAAGGCGGUACCCUGCAGCGCGUACGCUAUAUGACCUUUAACUAUCUAGUGUAUCUAUUUGUUGAAUUUUUUCUUCUCCACACAUAUAGUACAGCCACCAGGGCACCGUCAGGCUUUGCUAUGUGUACCUUGAAGAACGAGAUGCCUCCUCAAAUGACUGGAAUCCAGUUGGUAUUCUCGACUGCCCUCUAUGUGCGAUUGUAUAUUACCAAGGAUCGGUCUGAUGACGCUCCGUAUGAUUGAAAUAACACGGCAUCUCUUUGUAGUUCCAGCCCCAUGUUUAAAAGACAAAAGGAAAGAGAGAUAACAGAGACUGCUUCGUCUGCUAUAAUGGACUCUCGCUCAACAGAAUGCCAUAUGGAUCCUGCAAAGCACCCAUCAAAUGCACACUACAAGAACCCGAGAAGUCCAGAUUAAAAGCCUGUGAUGCUGCCUGAAAAGGAGAAAACCAAAGAUUGUGAACUGACUGUUUAAGUGCAGUAUACAUGUACUGUAUUUAUUACUGUAUACUGGGUAAAGUCCCUCGUGUCCCUGUUGCUCACACGCGACUUUGGGGUCCCAGAAGUUGGUGUAGGAAAUGUUUGACAGUGCGGCUAGUUAACAAUGAUUGAUGCCCGUAGCCCUCUCAGCUGUUAAGGAGAGAUGAGGGGAAGCAAGUGAUGCAAGGCGGAUUGGAAGCUGCCUGCUGGCAUCUGACUUUAGGAAUGGUGAUUAAAAACACAUUAUGACAAAGGCAACAUCUGGCGGUGCAUUCAGAUCCUCAGAACAGUAGUGCACUGCUACGUUACCUUGGCAUCACAUGCACAGUGGAUGAAAGGUGUGCUCCAAACAAUGAAAAACAAACAAAGAAGUUUUGAAUUAAAGUCCCAUUUUGUCUGCUCGGUGGUGCUUUCGGCAAACUGAAAACAAUCCCCAAAUAGGCUAAUUAGUUUCAUUAUUGUGUUAUUUGGAUUCAUUAACUUAAGUUUAACUCAACAUUUGUACUUUAUGUAGUUAAUAAUAUCAGUCAGUCAAUUACUCUCUGGCUGGUAAAUUAUUUUAACAACUUGACAUAAGGGGAUUUUUCCUCCAAUUAAUGUUCAUGGAAUACAGCGUAAUCUUUGCUGUGGUUUAUUUGGUUCCCCAGGCCAAGAUCGUUACAUGUAACCUAUCAGCACCAUGGAAAAAAAAUGUAAUUAAAAGCAAAAUAUAGUCUGACUAAUGGGAACAAUUUACUUUGAUGACACGCCACAAAAGACAGCAUCUGUUCUGGCGCUGAUACCCGAGGGCUGUGAGCUCAGCGCGCCAUCCUGACAAAGCAUGCGUGAACGAUUGUCAGCAGGAGUUUCUACUCGGGAUCAGAUGACAUUUUGUGAAAGUCAGCCGUCACCUCAUGAAAUCGCUGAAGACAAUCUAGUCAACAUCAUUAGAUGGACGUGUUCACUCUGAUCUGAACACGUCCUGACCUGAAAAAUUAGACUACAGACGCAAUGCUGUUGAUUCUGCGUUGUGUUUUCUGUGAAUGAUCUUGAAGCUGGGGGAUAGUUGUUUUUUUUAUGCAAAACACUGCUGGUUCGAAUGGGAUUUACAACCUUUGACAUGAAGUCAAUUACUUACCAUAACAACAAAGGGCCAUGAAAGAGAGAAACAUAGAGGCCGGUGUCGUAGACGACUGUUGCAAUGCAGCAAAUAUAAUUUUGUUGCGUAUGCAAGUUGGACACAUUGAAAGGUUCACUGCAGUAGAAUUAAAAGCCUUGACACGGUUACACCGUUUGUGAAGAAGGUUUGUUUCUGAAUUGUACUCGUGAAUGUUGAAAAGGUGUGCGGUGAGGAAAGCGCCUCAUCCUUCUCUCGUGCUACGUCUUUAGCUUUAACUCCCCACCCGCAGUGGUAGUUGGGCCAACGUCAAGCGUGGACUGACACGCCGCCCAUGACGUGUCCACAUCUGCAGGUUUAAGUGGGGAGCCACAGCAUGGAGCGUAGUUUGAAUUACUGUAUUUGAGGCAUUUGGGUGAGAAUGUGUUGUCCCUUGUUUCACUAAAAAGGCCGUUUGAAGGAAAGAAACUGAAUGGAAAGCCAACCUAAUGAUGUGCUCCUCUUGUUCGCUGACAAUCUGUUAUAGAAUUUUGCGAUAUACACUGACAGCUUUGUCAGUGCUACUCAAGCAAGAGGAGGUAUUAAGGAGCAACGUGUUGUGACUCAUCAGUGGGCGACUGUCUCACUCUGCUGCGAUGAAUUAAAUCGGGUUCAUUGAAACGGUGUCCUUCUUUCCCACUUAGGCCUUUGUUAUAAAGUUGUAAAUCCACAAGACGGUUCGGGUAAUCAAACAUGUUAGUCGAACUAUGAUGCGAGGUUCAGAUAAGGUUUAUUUUUAUAUGCGGACAGGAAAGAGGAAUUGUAAACUACAUGCUCAAUAGUGUGUUCAAAGUCAAUUUAUAGUUCAUAUUGUACUCUGAUAUCUCCUCACGAUCUCGUGUGUGAAAUAGGUCUAUUGUGUGUAAGUUGAUGCGCGCGUCACAAUUCUCAUUGAGCGCCUCAAAUCAGAUGCCACUUCAUCGAUAGGAUAUUUCACUGCCUAAAGGGGAAAAAAGGAAAGGAUUGAAGUGAGUAUGAAACUGACCAGAAUAUGUCGGCCAAUUGGAGCUUGAGAUUGGAGCAAUCGGAUGCAGAUGUUGUCAUCUGGUUGAAAAAAAUAGCUGUAAAUGAAAUAUGAUUUUUAAAUGUUCUGAUGUAUGAGAAUGAAUGGAAACAGAUACUCAUCCCGUCUCAACCAUUUUUUGUGAGAAACUAAUGGUUGUGUGAUUUGCUCAAAGACCCUUUUACCCGCGGACAGAAGGAGCCGGGGCGGGUUAUAAUAUAUAACCGCUAACUUUGUCGUGAAAGGACGACUCUGCUCAAUGAGACACAACCAUCAAGCCAUUGUUUGGCGUAUUGAAGUAUUGAUAUUCAAUGAUCCCUUCUUUCAAAAUGUCAGAUUCUACUGUAGAAUGAUGACACUUUUAAUGUCAUGAUUAUGCCAUUACAGCUCUUUAUUAAGGUAAUUGAUUACUUCUGCUCUAAAAAAAUAAGUAGUUCUGUGACGUUGGCCUGUUCCUUGGACAAAUGAGCACUUGACGAUUUCCCUUUUUGGUCCCUGGAAAACAGACUUUUCUCCAUGCUCCGACCUUUUAUUGACCUUGUAAUUAUUCAUUCAUCCAAAACAAUUAUGCCAUGAAUUUUAUGAGAGCGCUGCUGCAGCUGUUGGAAAUUAGGCUCAAAAAGUAAUAUAAGAAAUUGCCCGGUUGGUCUCGCCGAGUGGCGAAGUUUAAUUCGUCAUGGUCUUAUUGAAAGUGUUCGCACACACGGAUACAACCGCACACGGUCACAGCCGUACAAACAUAAUGAUAUGGAUUUGCAGCCUGCACACACGCACACACACACACACACACACACCUCUGGGACCCGGCCUGGGUCUCUAUUGUAAAUGAUGCAGUUCGCCUGUGUGAGCUGUGGUUGAGUUAGUAGCUAAUUAGUUUGGCACGCCAGCCUUCUUCCCAGGACCUGUGUGUGUCUGUCUGUGUGUCUGUCUGUGUCUGUGUCUGUGUGUGUGUGUGUGUGUGUGUGUCUGUGUGUGUGUGUGUGUGUGUGUGUGUGCUGGAGGUGCAGUGGGGGGUUUAAUCCUCUUUACUUGUUGUUCUACACCACUGCCACCCCCCCGAUUCUUUCUGUUUUCUUUGCCCCUUUCUCCACUUCUUUUGGCUUUGUCUUUCACCAUGUUUGCGUUUUGUCCCCUCUCUGCCUGUUCCUCCCCUUUUGUCCCUUUUUUUUAAUCUUCCCCCUCUAUUACUUUCUCUCCCUUUCCAUGCCCUGCACCCCCCCCCCCCAUUUUAUUUGCUUCUCCCUCUGACCCUUGUUAUUUCCCCUCUCCAUCCAUCUCCUGUAUUUAAUGAAAGUCCCUGUUAUUGGACUAAUCCAGUGGUGGAGUGUUCUCAGUGUCUCCCUCGCUUCAUUCCUCCGUAUCUCACCGCUCAUCCUGCAUCUUUAGAUUUCCCUCUCACCCUCCACUAAUGGAAGUCCCCCCCCCUUCCCCUCCGCUAUCUUUGUAAUCCAGUGUCUCCUUGCCUCCACCUUUCUGUUGCUCUUUCUUUUCCUCUUCCCCUCUGUAGACUAAUGAAAGUCUGUGGUGUUGGUCUAAUCCCCUGGCUGUGUGCUCACAGCCCCUUUGUUGGUCAAAUCUGACUAAUGCCCUCCGUCUCAGUCCGCAGCACAGCAGCCUCUUACCUCAUUCCUCACACACACAAACCCUAUGGGGAAUAUUAUGAUUUUUGUAGAAAGUGUAUGUGUCUUUCUCUUGUUUGAUAAAGACUCGACACGGCGUCCAAUUGGAGAAACACGCAACACCAUGUCGGUUUUCUACUUUCACACUCAAGCAAUUCAUAUCGAGAGUUGAAGCAACACAGUGGAGUGCUGUUUAAUUUACUUUAUUCUCAUUUUUUAAUCUCCACUGUGAUUAAAGACGUUCAGCAUCCUACAUCUCCACUGAGUAGUGGUCCAUGCUAUGUGCAUAAAUAAUGAAAAUGAAUAAAUUAAUGCAUUUGAAUAAUGCCUGUAUUUUUCAUGUUCUUCUUUAAGGGGAAAUUACUGUAUUUUCUUGAUGAAUUUGGACUCUCAAACAGUGGACUUUUCUGAUAUAAUGUCUGUGAAUGUGUGGUCUGUGCUACAAAACUAUAAAUCCAACAGUACGUCUUUGCGUCCAUGAACUGCCUGCAGCAGCAUCGUAGUAGCGACAGCAGGCCGACCCUGAUACCCCCCCCCCCCUCCUCCCAGGAUCAUUUCCAACAUCGCCUUCAUCACUCAUGGCCAUAACUUCAUUCGGGCGGUAAGCAGAUUGACCCUCCGAUGACUGCUCUUAUUAAAGGGCAGACGGUGACCUCAUCUCACCCCCGUCAUCCUUUUGCCAUGUUAAUGGUUUGUAUUGACGGACUGAUACUCUGACACACGUGUACUUGUUUUAGUCAAUGUCCCACACAAAAAUGUGCGCAUGAUAAAUACAGUACGCGCUGCAUUGUGUUCCAUAUCGAUUGAUCUUAGUGCGCCGGCAGCGUGGCAUCAUUGACUGUGGCCGUGUGUCUCAUGCACAGGAAAUGGUACAUGGGAGCGUGCGUCUACUUCUAGUGCGUGCGGGUGUGCGCAUGCCCUCGUGUGCGUGUGUCAAAGAGUUCGCUCUUACACAAUCCUGACAGUGUUUGUAAUAUUUUGGGCUCAUUGAAUCGCCUGUUUAUGGAGUGUGCAAUAAAUCAUGACUAAACAUAACCAAACACAAGUGUGUGUUUAUCAGCGAGGGAACGCCGUUUCAGGCCUUGCACAUUUUUGGCUGUGAGUGCGACACCGAGGUUAAAUUGCUUCAGUCGUGGUGAAACUACGUUGAAAUUGAGCUCUAAAGCACAUUUGAGGCUUUGCCGUAUAAAAUGUAUGUAUGAAGUUCUGUUUCAGGGAAGCCAUGCGAUUGGAUUUGCAGAAGGGCGGCCAGACCAACAGUGUGGGAGCCGCUAGGUUCACACGUCUCCAAAUCACUGGGUACAGAAACCCAGCUACUGGUAUGAACAAAUUAAGACUGGUCACUGGUCAGUACCAGGUGACAAGAACAAAAAGUGAGCCAUUAGCUGUAAAACAUUUUCUCACAGGCUAAAUUCAGCAUAAUGCUUAAAUCCACCAGUACAACAAUAGUCAUAUUGUACUCAUCUAUUUUUGAAGAAAAGUAUUUCUUUAAACAAAUUUUAUGCAUAUUUCAUUUCAAUUCCUUCUACCUUUCAGUUUUAUUAAAGAUUCUGCAAGUGCCACCCGACACAUUGUGUGGAUGUUUCACAAUAACAUCUUAAACUAAAGGAGGGAAUUUGCAUCUUGACUCACUUGAAAGGUUCUCAUGUCAAGCAUCUGUGUUUAUUUAUCUAACAGCGAUAAAGCAAUUUUAGUAGAUUGGAAUCAAGUGAAUCCGACUGCUAGUUGCAUUUGUAUUCCUGAAUUUGUCAAGAUAACGGGUAAAUAUCUAACAUGUUUUUAUUAACUGUAAAAUGCUACCAGGCGCAAAUUGUAGCAGAAUAGAACAGGAGGGUACACAAAAGUAUGAAUAAAGGUCUACUAAAUGUAAAGAUGUCAAUCAGAAUUAAGAUUCGGGAAGUAGAAUGUGCACACAGACAAUUUAACAAUGUUAAAUAAAAAGAGAUUUGUAUAGAGAUAAAGGAUUUAGAAUUACAGGACAAAAGUAAGCAGAGACACAGUGGUCAAACAUAAACAACAUCCACAUGCUAUAGAAGCUAUUCUCCAUCCUUCAUUUUUAAGAAAUUCAAAGGUGACAAAACUAUUAUUUUUCCUGUGACAUUGGUGCUGACACAUCCACUUUAUAUCAGAGGAAUUCCUGUUUUUGAAGUCCCGACACGUACUGUAGAUGUUGUAAUAUUUCCCCAGGCGCCAACAGUCCUCGCACCACCCAAGACAAAUGGCUGACAGUUGAGGUUUUUUUGUUAUCGUUCUUCAAAAUUAGACAUCAUUUGAAAACACCUACUCAGUUCUAAAAGCACAUACGUAAAAUAAAUUACACACGGCAUAUUUUAAAGAACAGCUGCAAUUGUAGUCUCUUGUCAACAUCAAUAAUGUUUACAGCCUUGUCCUAGAUCCACUUGCUAUGCUAAAUGAUCCACUUCAGUUAAUUGUUUUCUUUCCAAGAAUGAAUAUGAAACAUCCAGAGAUUAAGCUCCGAGCCAAACACCGCCUCGACUUUUUUAAGCGCUAUUCAUUUGAACUAGAAUUUCACAUCAAAUCAUGUUUCAAACUUUUCAAUCCUCUGAUUCUACUUUGUGCUUCCAGUGAAUGUAGAAGACCGUAUUUCAAACCAGAUCCCCUCAUGUGGGAAGUUAAAUAUGUACAAGUCAGCCAGAGGUGAAAUCCUUCCCUGCCAGGGGAGAUCUCCAGCUUACAGGGUCUCAGGCAAGACUCCUCUGAUUCAUGAUGGGUGUGUAGAGGGAGCGAGCAAAUGUCUACGUGUGUGUGUGUGUGUGUGUGAUCAACAGAAAUAUAUGGCUAUAAAUGGUUUCAUCCUUUGAGGCAUCGACGGGUCUUCCUGUUUCUCCCAAUAUUUGGAGGAACUAGUUAACCGUAAUAAAAAAUAAUGCCAAUGGUAACAACAGAAACUCAAAAACUCCACCUCGCUAGAGUUGACGUCAACUGGUUAGUCAGAAAGUGAAAGGCGGCGGGGGUAAGGUAAAGAGGGGUGGAACUCAUGAGGUGGAUCCCGUGAGACAGGCCAGGUCAGCUGGGACUCAACAUGGGGGCGGCGAGAGACCCAAGCCCCCCGGCGUGGAGAGCACAAGCACCCGGGACUAUAAGAUGCGGCGGGUGAGAGGUGUCUGGUUCCACAGAAGCUCCUUUCAUCCCAUCUUGCAGGUAAAAACCCCCCACUGUGGAGCGAAGCAGAGAGAAUAACUUGAGAGAAGGAUCGCUAAUCCACCCCGACGGCCUGCAGGCUCUGGGAUUUGGGACUAUCGCUUACCGUGAAGUAGGAGCAGGAGCAGGUCGAGUUAGGGCGCAAGCAUCCCUCGUAAAUGGUAAAUGGACUGUACUUGUAUAGCGCUUUUCUAGUCUUCUGACCACUCAAAGCGCUUUAACACUACAUGACAUCAUUCACCCAUUCACACCCAUUCACACGCUGAUGACACGAGAACCACACACAGUGACACCUGCCCAUCAGUAACUAACAUUCAUACGCUGUAGUCGCAGCUACAGGAGCAAUGUUGGGUUAAGUGUCUUGCCCAAGGACACAUCGACAUGCGGGUUAGCCAAGCCUGGGAUCGAACCGACAACCCUCUGAUUGGAGGACGACCGUGCUCCCCACUCACCCACAGACGCCCACAGGAAAGCAUCGUGUCUUUCCUGUCAGUCAGCCCAGCGACGCUAUUACGAUACGGCAAAUAUUGUGCCCCCGCGGCGCUCUCCCUUUUUCUGUCUGGGUUUCAAUCCAAGCAGGUUUAUCCUCUCCUCGACCGACUUCGGCUUGCUCGCCCUCUUUGUACGCACGCCGCCUCCCAAUCUCUUCCUCCCCAUCGUUCUCCACCAGCUUCGUUAAUGCUCCUCUAUCUUGAAGCCUCACAGGGAGCUAAUUUAGCUGUGAACUUUGUUCCGGCUGUCAAUUCACAAAAGGGACGUUGCAAAGAGUUAAGCAGAUAUGGCAGUCAGAGACCCAUAGGGGGAGCGUUCAUGAGAGAUUAGUGGCGUAUGCUCAAAUAUUAGUAUUAUUUUUUUGUUGUUGUUUUUUUCAUAUAAUGAAAUGAUUUAUUCAUUUUCAUUUCCAGUAACGUCUGUUCUAGAUCACAUGCAAGAAUGGUCCGCAGCUCCAAUUAAGGCAACGGAGCCAUUAAAGCAAUUUUGAACCAGACCAGUGGACCUUAAAACACAGAGCAGCUCAACACAGCAACAUCUGUGAUUACUAACAAAGCUCAGAAUGCUCUGUUAGAUAUUCAGGCUUUUUUAAUGCUUAAAGGAAAUAUGUGAAAUGAAAUGUUAAACAUUGUUAGAAGUAGGUAGAAGCUCAAUGAGAAAUGUUGUUGUCAAAGCUUUACGCCAUCUGCUUACUAUCGUCCGUACAAUCGGCCGAAACCUCGAGCUAUUCUUUUGAAGCAGCUGUGUGGUGUCGUAGAAUGCAGUAAACAAUAAAACAAAUUCUCAUUGAUGGUAAAAACGUGUAUAUGUUUGCCGACAUUGUGGUUUCUUCCUGUGGUGCCCAGGAAGGAAGUCUAAAUUAGUCAUUGUUCGUGGUGCAGCCGAUCAUGUCAUUACACAGUUUAAUGUUAACUACCCCAGUGUAAAGUUAGGUUUUACUGACAUCCUUAUCUGCUGAUCUUUAUCGUUUACACUAUUUUAGUCUUUGAUCUCCGAUAAUGUUACACAAUGGUCACUGAUAGUUUGUUUUAGGUGAAAGUUAAUAAAAAAUCAUAUAACUAAUUACAACAUUUGUUGUUUUAAUAAAUAGAAAUAUGUUUGAUUUUUUUUUUUACAUCAUCUGAACAUGUUUUUAUGAGAACCCUCCAACUAUUACUAUGACUUCAUAGACCAGUUGUUGUAACCAAAGGAGAAAAAAGGAUCUCUAUCCACGCAAAUGGAUCAUCAAUGACAAUUAGUACCAGCAGCAAAACAACUUUUUGCUGCUAGUUUUUCUUUUUUCCUUCUGAUCCAAACAUGUGAUCUGAUCCAUGACUAUGAUUGUGAGUCUUAUGAUCACAAUCAUCUGUUGGCCAUACCCAUGACUAUGUGGUUGUUACCCUGCUGGGACAGGGUCCAAUUCCUGCAUGGAAACUACUGAUGAUAAGGCAUCCGGUGGAUCGGGCUUCUGGGAAGGUCCACCUGGAUUUAAGGAGGGAUUAUUGGGAUUGAGCAUAUAUUAGUUCUGAAUAUAAAUCCCAGUUUGGCUAUCUUGCUACUGCUUCUGGGUAGUGUCUUGAUGCUGGCAGUGGGGCUGAGUAGUUGGAUGUUGUCAUCGUUAUUAGAAGCUGAAAGGCAGAAAGUUACCGAACCAGCCGGUUGGGUUAAUAAGGAGCAUGCUGAUUAGUGAUUGGCUGCUACACAGGCGGACGCAAGUCGAUGCCUCAUGAAUCCUAAAGCGAGGGUGGAAGGAAGGAGCAAAACGAUUCCCUGGGAGGAAAAAAAAA